rnacentral:rRNA from 1 species
GGAGGCUACCGCUAUUGGAGUUCGAUUAAGCCAUGCGAGUCGCGAGUCUUAGGGACUCGGCGUACCGCUCAGUAACACGUGGGUAACCUGCCCUAUGCUGGGGGAUAACCUCGGGAAACUGAGAAUAAUACCCCAUAGUUCACCACGCCUGGAACGGUGGGUGGACCAAAGCUCCGGCGGCAUAGGAUGGGCCUGCGGCGUAUCAGGUUGUAGGGGGUGUAAUGUACCCUCUAGCCCUCUACGCGUACGGGUGUUGAGAGACAUCGCCCGGAGAUGGAUUCUGAGACACGAAUCCAGACCCUACGGGGUGCAGCAGGCGCGAAAACUUGGCAAUGCGAGAAAUCGUGACCAGGGAACUCCAAGUGCAUCGGGUAAGACCGAUGCUUUUCUUGACUCUUCAAAGGUCUUGGAAUAAGGGGUGGGUAAGGACGGUGCCAGCCGCCGCGGUAAUACCGGCGCCCCAAGUGGUAGUCGCUUUUAUUGGGCCUAAAACGUCCGCAGCCGGUCUGGUACAUUCGUGGGUAAAUCAACCAGCUCAACUGGUUGAAUUCUGCGAGCACGGCCAGACUUGGGACCGGGAGAGGUGUGGGGUACUCUCAGGGUAGGGGUAAAAUCCUGUCAUCCUGAGAGGACCACCUGUUGCGAAGGCGCCACACUAGAACGGAUCCGACGGUCAGGGACGAAGCCUAGGGGCACGAACCGGAUUAGAUACCCGGGUAGUCCUAGGUGUAAACGCUGUGGACUUGAUGUUGGGGGCGCUCCGAGCGCACUCAGUGUCGAAGCGAAGGUGAUAAGUCCACUGCCUGGGGAGUACGGUCGCAAGGCUGAAACUUAAAGGAAUUGGCGGGGGAGCACCGCAACCUGAGGAUUGUGCGGUUUAAUUGGAUCAACGCCGGG